rnacentral:rRNA from 1 species
CUGCAACCCGCCUGCAUGAAGUUGGAAUCACUAGUAAUCGCGGAUCAGCAUGCCGCGGUGAAUGCGUUCUCGGGCCUUGUACACACCGCCCGUCACACCAUGAGAGUCGGGAACACCCGAAGUCCGUAGCCUAACCGCAAGGGGGGCGCGGCCGAAGGUGGGCUCGAUAAUUGGGGUGAAGUCGUAACAAGGUAGC